rnacentral:rRNA from 1 species
UACGGAGGAUGCAAGCGUUAUCCGGAUUCAUUGGGUUUAAAGGGUGCGUAGGCGGGCUAUUAAGUCAGUGGUGAAAUCCUGCAGCUUAACUGCAGAACUGCCGUUGAUACUGAUAGUCUUGAGUUUGGUUAAGGUAGGCGGAAUGUGUAAUGUAGCGGUGAAAUGCUUAGAUAUUACACAGAACACCGAUUGCGAAGGCAGCUUGCUGGGCCAUUACUGACGCUGAUGCACGAAAGCGUGGGGAGCGAA